GGUGGCUCAGUGGUAGAGUGCUUGCCUUUCAUGCAUGAGGUUCUGGGUUCUAUUUCUCAGCACCA
rfam:Dipodomys ordii contig_9398, whole genome shotgun sequence.